GUUGUCUUUAGAUGCUAGCUUUAUUCCCAUUUACAGGACAGUAAAAUAAAUCAGAAAAAGAAUUAAACUGCUAAAGGUUUAUAUACUGUAUUUAGAAGCAAGUUUCAAAACCAAUCUGUCAGAUUCCAAUCUAUGUGUGUAAAUGUUACUCUGCUAUUAGUUCACUUCAGGCUAAUGCCAUUAAAUGACUGAAUUACACUCCAUUUUGUCUUUACAGAUUGUGUAUGCAUGUGCUUUUGUGGACAGAAUGUCCAGAUUGCAGAAACUGGAAGACUCUGACCCAGCUACAGAAUAACUCCAGUUUGGCCUCCAGUCACAACUGAGACUUCAGUGAUCCAGUGAUGCUGUGAUUCUCCAGGACAAGAAACAUCCUGGGAGAACAAACAUCUGCUCAGUUCCUCAUUGUUCUUGGACUGAUUAACAUCUUGUUUGCCGGAGAUGUACUGAACUCUCUGCAAGCCUUCCGUUACACCUUGUUUAUCCCAAUGUGAACUAUUGAACUCUCUGCAAGUCAUUUGUUACAUUUGUUUCUCCCGAUGUACUGAAUAAAAGGUGUGGUAAGCUGGGGGCUUUGUCUUUGCUGCCCAGAGCAGGACUGACCAGACCCAGAGCUCAGCUUCUUCUCAGUCUCAUUUUUCUACCUUUCCUGUAAUUUGCCGUGUGCUGCCAUGGCUCGCAGGAGACUAGGACUCACUGCAGAGGUUCUGGUAACGUCCCCUUCCCCUGUCCCCUACAGCUAAUGUUAAAUACUCUUUCAAAACUCAGUGGCCUAUAUAUGUGUGGUUCUAUUUCUAGAUUCUCUGUUUUAUUCACAUGAUCUAUAUGUCUUUCCUUACACCAACACUGCUUUGAUUACUGUAGUUUUAGAAGAAGUCUUAAAAAUAGGUACUAAACAUCUUCCAACACUGUUUUUGUUUUUGUUUUUAACUUUUCUAGGUCCUUUGUACUCCUACCUAACUUUUAAAUUUCAAUAUCCAAUUCUUCAUUUAUAGCAAGUAUACACAGACCUGAAUUUUUAUAUAUACCUUGUUUUUUCUAAUCCUGCUAAAUUCAAGUACAGGUUCUAGGGGCUCCUAGAGAUUUCUUAGUAUUUUUCUCUGUAGAUGAUCAUUUCAUCUACAUAUAAAGAUUUUGCUUCUACCUUGCCAAUCCUGUCCUAGUUGUGUCAUUUUAUUGCUAGACUACUUUGGUGGGGACUAGGUUUCAAAGUUUAAUGGACAGAUAAAGAGUAAGCAUAUCUGCCCUUGUUCCCCACCUUAAGGAGAAAGCAUUGCAUCUUCUCCAUUUAUAUAAGGCAUUCUCACUGGAAGUAUGGAGUACAUGUCUUUAAUCUGUUGAGAAGUUUCUGUUUUACUUCUAGUCUCCUGAUAACUUUUACCAUGAAUAGCUGUAGAAUUUAGUCCAAUACUUUUUCUCCAACUAGUGACAGGAUCAUAUGGCUUUUUCCUUUCCUCUGUUAAAAUGAUGACUUUUGGGGGUGGAUCUUUCAAUGCUGAAGCAACAUUGCCCUCCCUAUAACAAAACCACUUUCUACAUCCUGCCAGAUCUGACUUCUAAUAGUUUUGUUAAACAAAUUUCUAUCUAUGUUCAUACUGUUUUCUUCUAUUUUCUUUAUCCAGUUUUAAGAUUAGCACAAUGUUGAUUUCCUAAAAUGAGGGGAGAACUGUUCCUUCUCUUUUCUGCCUUAAUUGACAUAAUUUACCAGUUAAAAUGUAUGAGCCUGCUGUUGUCAUAUAGGUAGGUUU
rnacentral:lncRNA from 1 species